rnacentral:sRNA from 1 species
UUGGCUCUGCUGGCGAGCCGUCCUCAGCG